UAUGUGAUCGUCUCUCGCAUAUCAAUAAGCGGAGGAAAAGAAACUAACAAGGAUUCCCCUAGUAACGGCGAGUGAAGCGGGAAGAGCUUAAAUUUGAAAUCUUAAAGGGUUUCCCUUUACGAAUUGUAGUUUAAAGAAGUGUUUUCUGUUAGAGGUUAGGUCAAAAGUUCUAUGGAAUAGGGACAAUCAUAGAGGGUGAGAAUCCCGUAUUUGACCUUUACUUUCAACUUUGUGAUACACUUUCAAAGAGUCGGAUUGUUUGGGAAUGCAGUCCAAAAUGGGUGGUAAAUUUCAUCUAAAGCUAAAUAUUGGCGAGAGACCGAUAGCGAACAAGUACCGUGAGGGAAAGAUGAAAAGAACUUUGAAAAGAGAGUUAAACAGUACGUGAAAUUGUCAAAAGGGAAGCGUUUGACACCAGUGUUGUUUUUCUGAAAAUCAAUUAAAGAACUGUUUAUGCUAAGUUGUUUAGACUUUAUCAGCUAACUGUUUAGUUUUGAGCUUUUCUUUAAUGCACCUUUCAGUUAACAAGUCAACAUCAAUUUCUUUUGCUGUAAAAAAGCUUGAGGAAGGUGGCUUGAGAUUCGUCUUAAGUGUUUAUAGCCUCUUGCCUAUGCAGUCGGAGAGAUUGAGGUCUGCAGCGUAGAUCCUUCGGGGCUAAAUGCAUUUGUGCUAAGUUAUAGCAUUUUAUAGACAACUUGUUGACUAUGAUUUGUCUUGUAGCUUACUCGCUUAUGUUAUUUUACCUACGCUUAGGAUGUUGAUCUGUAGUGCGUGCGC
rnacentral:rRNA from 1 species